AAUAGAUACCCAGGUAGUCCACGCCCUAAACGAUGUCUACUAGUUGUUGGUGGAGUAAAAUCCAUUAGUAACGCAGCUAACGCGUGAAGUAGACCGCCUGGGGAGUACGGUCGCAAGAUUAAAACCCAAAGGAAUUGACGGGGGCCCGCACAAGCGGUGGAUUAUGUGGAUUAAUUCGAUGCAACGCGAAAAACCUUACCUGGCCUUGACAUGCCACUAACGAAGCAGAGAUGCAUUAGGUGCCCGAAAGGGAAAGUGGACACAGGUGCUGCAUGGCUGUCGUCAGCUCGUGUCGUGAGAUGUUGGGUUAAGUCCCGCAACGAGCGCAACCCUUGCCAAUAAUUGCCAUCAUUCAGUUGGGCACUUUAUUGGGACUGCCGGUGACAAACCGGAGGAAGGUGGGGAUGACGUCAAGUCCUCAUGGCCCUUAUGGCCAGGGCUUCACACGUAAUACAAUGGUCGGUACAGAGGGUAGCCAAGCCGCGAGGUGGAGCCAAUCCCAGAAAGCCGAUCGUAGUCCGGAUUGCAGU
rnacentral:rRNA from 1 species